CCGUAACGACGCGCAACCCUUCGUCCUUAGUUACCAGCACGUUAUGGUGGGCGACUCUAAGGAGACUGCCGGUGACAAACCGGAGGAAGGUGGGGAGUGACGUCAAGUCAUCAUGGCCCUUACGGCCUGGGCUACACACGUGCUACAAUGGUCGGUACAAAGGGUUGCCAAGCCGCGAGGUGGAGCUAAUCCCAUAAAACCGAUCGUAGUCCGGAUCGCAGUCUGCAACUCGACUGCGUGAAGUCGGAAUCGCUAGUAAUCGUGAAUCAGAAUGUCACGGUGAAUACGUUCCCGGGCCUU
rnacentral:rRNA from 1 species